rnacentral:rRNA from 1 species
GAUGAACGCUGGCGGCGUGCUUAACACAUGCAAGUCGAACGGUGAAGCAGAGCUUUCUCUGUGGAUCAGUUGCGGACGGGUGAGUAAGACGUGAGCAACCUGCCCCUGUCUCUGGGAGAAGCGCUGUAAACGGCGCCUAGUACAUGAUAUGAGCUACGUCCACAUGGUCGGCACUUUGAAAGAUGUUUCUGUUUGGGAUGGGCUCACGGCCUAUCAGCUUGCUGGGGAGGUAUUGGCUCGCCAAGGCGUCGCCGGGUAGCCGGCCUGAGAGGGUGACCGGCCACCCUGGGACUGAGGCACGGACCAGACGCCUACGGGAGGCAACAGUGGGGAAUAUUGCGCAGUAGGGGAAAGCCUGAUGCAGCAGCGCCGCGUGAGGGAUGACGGCCUUCGGGUUGUAAACCUCUUUUAGCAGGGAAGAAGAGAACGUGACGGUACCUGCAGAAAAAGCGCCGGCUAACUACGUG